rnacentral:rRNA from 1 species
UACGAAGGGGCUAGCGUUGCUCGGAAUCACUGGGCGUAAAGCGCACGUAGGCGGACUCUUAAGUCGGGGGUGAAAUCCUGGAGCUCAACUCCAGAACUGCCUUCGAUACUGGGAGCCUUCGAGUUCGGGAGAGGUGAGUGGAACUGCGAGUGUAGAGGUGAAAUUCGUAGAUAUUCGCAAGAACACCAGUGGCGAAGGCGGC